AUUGAACGCUGGCGGCAGGCUUAACACAUGCAAGUCGAACGAGUGGCGCACGGGUGAGUAGUGCUUGGGAAUCGAGCUUAUGGAGGGGGAACUCUACGGGAAACUGUAGAUAAUACCGCGUACCAUAGGAUGAGCCCAAGUGGGAUACUGUAGUGGGUGAGGAAAAGGCACACCAAGCCGACGAUCUCUAGCUGGUCUGAGGGGAUGACCGUCCAAACUGGGAAUGAGACACGGCCCAGACUCCUCCGGGAGGCAGCAGUGGGGAAUAUUGCGCAAUGGGGGCAACCUGACGCAGCCAUGCCGCGUGAAUGAAGAAGGACUUCGGGUUGUAAAGUGCUUUCGGUAGCGAGGCGUUAACUACAGAAGAAGCACCGGCUAAAUCCGUGCCAGCCGCCGCGGUAAUUC
rnacentral:rRNA from 1 species